rnacentral:rRNA from 1 species
UGAGUAACACGUGGGCAAUCUGCCCUGCACUUCGGGAUAAGCCUGGGAAACUGGGUCUAAUACCGGAUAGGACCUUUAGACGCAUGUCUUUUGGUGGAAAGCUUUUGCGGUGUGGGAUGGGCCCGCGGCCUAUCAGCUUGUUGGUGGGGUGACGGCCUACCAAGGCGACGACGGGUAGCCGGCCUGAGAGGGUGUCCGGCCACACUGGGACUGAGAUACGGCCCAGACUCCUACGGGAGGCAGCAGUGGGGAAUAUUGCACAAUGGGCGCAAGCCUGAUGCAGCGACGCCGCGUGGGGGAUGACGGCCUUCGGGUUGUAAACCUCUUUCACCAUCGACGAAGGUUCGGGUUUUCUCGGAUUGACGGUAGGUGGAGAAGAAGCACCGGCCAACUACGUGCCAGCAGCCGCGGUAAUACGUAGGGUGCGAGCGUUGUCCGGAAUUACUGGGCGUAAAGAGCUCGUAGGUGGUUUGUCGCGUUGUUCGUGAAAUCUCACGGCUUAACUGUGAGCGUGCGGGCGAUACGGGCAGACUAGAGUACUGCAGGGGAGACUGGAAUUCCUGGUGUAGCGGUGGAAUGCGCAGAUAUCAGGAGGAACACCGGUGGCGAAGGCGGGUCUCUGGGCAGUAACUGACGCUGAGGAGCGAAAGCGUGGGGAGCGAACAGGAUUAGAUACCCUGGUAGUCCACGCCGUAAACGGUGGGUACUAGGUGUGGGUUUCCUUCCUUGGGAUCCGUGCCGUAGCUAACGCAUUAAGUACCCCGCCUGGGGAGUACGGCCGCAAGGCUAAAACUCAAAGGAAUUGACGGGGGCCCGCACAA